CUGAUAUAUUAUAUUUUCUAUAUAUUUUAUACACAUGUAAGGCACCGAAGGGGCUAUGAUUUUGGUGUCCCCAUAAAAGAUUAUGAAAAUCAGAAUAUAAACAAUAACAAACCAUAAAAUGAAUUUUUAUUUUUCAAAGCCAAACAAAACAAUGGCGGUGCUCCAGCAUGGCCACAGUCAAAUGACUGAAACAAG